CCAACUGGGCAGAGGGAUCCUCCUCCUGUCAUCACUGGACACUGAGCUGUGUGGUGUGGCAGAUGGGCUGGAGGGAAGGGCUCCAUCCACAGGGACCUUGACAGGCUGCAGAGAGCCCUAAGGAUUCUUCCAUGAAGGUCUCUGUUGAGGUCAAGUCCUGCAGUAUCAGCCACAAAGACUGGAAGUUUACAUCUCUGUCACCUCUGACUUCUGCUGUGUAUUGCUGUAGUUGCUUCCACAGAAGCUUCACAGUGCUGCAAUAAAAUCAUUAGAUGAGUGUGCAUGUGGCAUGGGAGUGCUUUAGAUGACUCAGUGGCUACAUUGAGCUGUCCAAGAUGACAAAGUAUGCCCUGCUAGCCUCCAGGAUUGGUAGUGAAGAGACUUCCAAACUCUUUAAACCACACCUGUUUGGAUGAGGAGGGAAAGAGGAGAUGAACCAGAAGUGCAGGAGCAGUUGGGAGUCUCACUAUGAAGCUCAAAUUCAUUGUCAGAACCUUGGGUGAUAGUUUCUGAAUUUCUUUGUGCUGGUACAGAUUAGAGGGCUCUCAGAAUGACAGAAUGCCAAGCUGGAAGGGACCCCAAGGAUCAUCUGGUCCAACCUUUCUACAUGUUGGUGUGGUUGGAAUGAGCUGACCCUGUAGCCUCUCAAGCUGAGUCUUAAAGCUGUCCAAUGCAAGAGACUCCACUGCUUGCCUUGUGUGCUGGUUUGAGGCUGACUGGAAUAUCACAAUGAGAGAAAUUAGAUCAUUGGUUGUGAAAAGAAAAUAAUGAUGAAGUCUGUAUCAUUCACUGGUUUGCUAGAAGGGAUAAAAAGCCAAAGUAUAAGCAAUCUGUGCUUCCCCUAAGCAUUGGAUCUAUUCACUUCUGCUUUGCCCCUCUCUAAUCUCUCCACUGGCCUUGGCUGACAGCUAACAAGCAAGCUUUGAUUGUGGCUUUGAGUCUCUUCUGUUUGUCCAGAAGGGAGUUUGGGUUUCUGUACUAAGUCUAAAUUGGAUGUAAUUGUAAAUACUUCUAAAUGUAUUGUGUAGAGAUGUGCUUGUAAAUUUCUUUGCUGCAAAUACAGCUUCAUCUUCCUUCCAA